rnacentral:lncRNA from 1 species
AUUUUAUUUACAAAUUUUAGUUUUAUGUCCACAAAGAUAUACAUAAUUGAACUUAAGUUCGUUCAAACACAAGCUAGGUUUAAUUAAAUUGAAAGUUCAUAGUAUUAAUUUCUUAAGUAACAAUACUUGGACUCAUAUUCAUAUUAUUGCUUGUCACGAUACCGUACACUCGUAAUUUAUUCAAACAUUUGACAUUAGCAAUACUGCUUUAUUUAUUUUACAAGUUAACUGCUGCUAUAGGAGUCCAAUCACAUGGCUUUUUUAGUAAGAUUAUAUUCAUAUAUCACGAAAUCCAGCAACAUCUUGGGGUUAUCUGGCGUGAGCGUGGUGAUCCACACCGUCCCUGCACACAUGGCAUUGGGUACGGGCUUGGACUUGGAAUCGGGCUCGGACGCCUCCAGGAUUAUACAGUACAUGGACCCUGCAACCACGUUUCGCUGUUUCGCACAGAUUACCUUCUCAUAUUUCAGAACCGGUUGAUGCUGCAGUCAUAAGGGAAGAAAAAUAAAUGAGAUUUCAGACUCAAUUCCAAAAUUUCAUACGGUCAUGAAAAUCGCAGGCAAUUGUAAUUAAUAAGAUGCAAAAAAUAAUCGUAGUUGAAGAUUAACAAAAUCAACACAAAAAGGGGGAAAAAAAACCUUUUACCCGUUGUAUUCAUCAACAGCAAAACGAGCGAGAUCAUCAAAAUCGGGGAUAAUUCCUCCAAAGGUGGGCUUUGCGGCCAUUCUCACAGACAACUGAAUUUUUUUGCUGAGAAAAAUCUCUCUUUCUUUUCUUUUGGUGUGUGAAUAAUUGAAGGCAGUUCAAAUGAUUUAUAUAGAGACUGGGGAAAG